UAACGUUGUUGCAGUUAAAAAGCUCGUAGUUGAAUUUCGGGAUCAAGGUGCCGGUCAUGCCUUUGGUAUGUACUGACAUCAUGGAUUUCUCCCUUCUGAUGAACUGUGAUGUCAUUAAUUUGGUGUCAUGGAGAAUCAGGACGGUUACUUUGAAAAAAUUAGAGUGUUUAAAGCAAGCACACGCUUGAAUACAUUAGCAUGGAAUAAUGAAAUAGGACGUUUGAUCCUAUUUUGUUGGUUUCUAGGAUUGACGUAAUGAUUAAUAGGG
rnacentral:rRNA from 1 species